rnacentral:rRNA from 1 species
CCUACGGGAGGCAGCAGUGAGGAAUAUUGGGCAAUGGGCGUAAGCCUGAACCAGCCAAGUCGCGUGAGGGAUGAAGGUUCUAUGGAUCGUAAACCUCUUUUAUAAGGGAAUCAAGUGCUGGACGUGUCCCGAUUUGUAUGUACCUUAUGAAUAAGGAUCGGAUAACUCCGUGCCAGCAGCCGCGGUAAUACGGAGGAUCCGAGCGUUAUCCGGAUUUAUUGGGGUUAAAGGGUGCGUAGGCGGCGUCUUAAGUCAGCUGUGAAAGUCUGUGGCUUAACCAUAGCAGUGCCGUUGAAAGUGGGAGGCUUGAGUAUGUUUGAGGCAGGCGGAAUGCGUGGUGUAGCGGUGAAAUGCUUAGAGAUCACGCAGAACCCCGAGGGCGAAGGCAGCCUGCCAAGCCAUGACUGACGCUGAUGCACGAAAGCGUGGGGAUCAAACAGGAUUAGAUACCCCAGUAGUC